UGCAACCACCGAGUAACCACGCCCGGAAUUUUGGAUUUUUAGUUUUUUCUGCAUAUGUAUUUUCUGAGCCUUAAUACUUUAUUGUGAGAAUAUUAUUCGUCGCUUCUAGGGAUUUACUAUGGAAAAUACAGUGAAACGUAAUGUGAGAUAUCAAAAAUGUACUAUUUGUGGUCUAAAGAGGACCCCUGGACUGGAGCCAAUGUAUUUUUGAAGAAGUUUCCACUUGAUCCAGAUCGUUUUCAAGAUAUAACAAAUUCAGAGAAUGUGCAUUGGAAUGAAAAUAUUUUGUCUAAAAGUGAGUAAACUACUUUAUUAUAUUAUAUUUAUUUAUGUUAUGUUGUUAGAAGUAACAAGUGUUUUUAAGAGGUACAGCAUCUUGUUAGUUCAUGUUUGGUUAUGUAAUAUAUUUUUAAUGAUGGAUAAAA